AAAUACAGUACAUAUAAAAAUGACAAAGUAAACUCCCUACUCUACAAAGUAUAUUUAAUAUUUCUCCAGGAUAUUGCUUAUGCAAUUUUUUUGCCUAGCAUCUUUCCAUUUUCCAAGCAAAUAGGCCCAUGCUUCCAGUAUUUCUAAAUCUGGCUUUUCAUUUAGAAUCUUUUCAUUGCCUUUUGUCUUUAGGAUUUAUAUACCUUUGGUUAUUACAUGGAAUUCCUUCAGAACAUGGAAGUUUCUGAAGGAAUGUUGAACUAACCAAGUGUACCCAACUUCCAUCAAUAAUAUCUGCUUACUGGUAAAGUCCAAAAGGGUCAUAGCAAACACAAAGAAAAAUAUGCCUAAUAGUAGCAACCCAAGACGCAAAAAAAGAUACCAUAUGGCGCUGAAAAAGGAAGAAGAACUCAGAGAUAGCUUCAUUUGUACUACAAUCCCAAACUCAGUGGUGGAUUUCCGAAUAGGCGCACAAGGCACGCGCCUUGGGCCUCAUAAAUCAAGGGAGCCUCAAAAUUCAGCUCUCAAAAUAAAAAAAGAUUAUUUUCACGAGUUCGAAUAAUGCGAUUUCGAUUAGUGCGACUUAAAAAAUUGAUGCCGUUUUUCAGUUAGUGCGAGCACAUAUUCGAUUAAUGCGAGUUGUAAGCAUAGACCAAUCUUACUAACAAAGCUACAUCUUCUUUUAUGAUGUCAAUUAAUAAAUUACCGUUAAUUUUCGGUUAGUAAAACCGGACGAGGAGCAGUCCAAGAAC
rnacentral:lncRNA from 1 species